AACUGAUGGGGCCCCAGAUACCAGCAAUGAACCUGAGAAGCCAGCAAGUCCUCCACCUGUGGAGGAAACAUCCACCCAGGACACAACAUCUACUGCACCUGCAGAAACUAGUGAUGAAACUGAGUGCUCUGCAUCAAGUCCUAAGGACCCAGGAACUCCCACCCAGGACCUGAAAGCUGCUG